UGAGCAACCUGCCCUUGACUCCGGAAUAACAGCUGGAAACAGCUGCUAAUACCGGAUAUGACCUCCGAUGGCAUCAUCUGGAGGUGGAAAGCUCCGGCGGUCAAGGAUGGGCUCGCGGCCUAUCAGCUUGUUGGUGAGGUAACGGCUCACCAAGGCUUCGACGGGUAGCCGGCCUGAGAGGGCGACCGGCCACACUGGGACUGAGAUACGGCCCAGACU
rnacentral:rRNA from 1 species